GACAUCCUUGUCUCUAGAUUGGAGAGACAUCAAUUUGAUAGAUGGACCACUCAGUGGAUAAAGAACUGGCUCGAAGGCCGCACGCAAAGAAUUGUGGUAAACGGCUCGAUAGUAUCCAACCAGAGAUUGGAAAUG